rnacentral:rRNA from 1 species
GAUGAACGCUGGCGGCGUGCCUAAUACAUGCAAGUCGAGCGAACAGACGAGGAGCUUGCUCCUCUGACGUUAGCGGCGGACGGGUGAGUAACACGUGGAUAACCUACCUAUAAGACUGGGAUAAUUUUGGGAAACCGGAGCUAAUACCGGAUAACAUGUUGAAUCGCAUGGUUCAACAGUGAAAGACGGUUUUGCUGUCACUUAUAGAUGGAGCCGCGUCGCAUUAGCUAGUUGGUAAGGUCACGGCCUAGCAAGGGAACGAUGCGUAGCCGACCUGGGAGGGUGAUCGGCCACACCGGAACUGAGACACGGCCCAGACUCCUCCGGGAGGCAGCCGUAGGGACUCUGCCGCACUGGGCGGAAGCCUGACGGAGCAACGCCGCGUGAGUGAAGACGGUCUUCCGAUCGUAAAACUCUGUUAUUAGGGAAGAACAAGUGUGUAAGUAACUAUGCACGUCUUGACGGUACCUAAUCAGAAAGCCACGGCUAACUACGUG